ACGAACGCUGGCGGCGUGCUUAACACAUGCAAGUCGAACGGAAAGGCCCUGCUUUUGUGGGGUGCUCGAGUGGCGAACGGGUGAGUAACACGUGAGUAACCUGCCCUUGACUUUGGGAUAACUUCAGGAAACUGGGGCUAAUACCGGAUAGGAGCUCCUGCUGCAUGGUGGGGGUUGGAAAGUUUCGGCGGUUGGGGAUGGACUCGCGGCUUAUCAGCUUGUUGGUGGGGUAGUGGCUUACCAAGGCUUUGACGGGUAGCCGGCCUGAGAGGGUGACCGGCCACAUUGGGACUGAGAUACGGCCCAGACUCCUACGGGAGGCAGCAGUGGGGAAUAUUGCACAAUGGGCGGAAGCCUGAUGCAGCAACGCCGCGUGCGGGAUGACGGCCUUCGGGUUGUAGACCGCUUUCGCCUGUGACGAAGCGUGAGUGACGGUAAUGGGUAAAGAAGCACCGGCUAACUACGUG
rnacentral:rRNA from 1 species